CGGGAGACACACGGCGGGUGCUAACGUCCGUCGUGAAGAGGGAAACAACCCAGACCGCCAGCUAAGGUCCCAAAGUCAUGGUUAAGUGGGAAACGAUGUGGGAAGGCCCAGACAGCCAGGAUGUUGGCUUAGAAGCAGCCAUCAUUUAAAGAAAGCGUAAUAGCUCACUGGUCGAGUCGGCCUGCGCGGAAGAUGUAACGGGGCUAAACCAUGCACCGAAGCUGCGGCAGCGACRCUSAKGYGUUGUUGGGUAGGGGAGCGUUCUGUAAGCCUGYGAAGGUGRCCUGUGAGGGUUGCUGGAGGUAUCAGAAGUGCGAAUGCUGACAUAAGUAACGAUAAAGCGGGUGAAAAGCCCGCUCGCCGGAAGACCAAGGGUUCCUGUCCAACGUUAAUCGGGGCAGGGUGAGUCGACCCCUAAGGCGAGGCCGAAAGGCGUAGUCGAUGGGAAACGGGUUAAUAUUCCCGUACUUGGUGUUACUGCGAAGGGGGGACGGAGAAGGCUAUGUUGGCCGGGCGACGGUUGUCCCGGUUU
rnacentral:rRNA from 1 species